rnacentral:rRNA from 1 species
UGGGAACCUUCCCUAUGGUUCGGAAUAGCUCAGGGAAACUUGGGGUAAUACCGGAUAAGCCCUUCGGGGGAAAGAUUUAUCGCCAUUGGAUGGGCCCGCGUCGGAUUAGCUAGUUGGUGAGGUAACGGCUCACCAAGGCGACGAUCCGUAGCUGGUCUGAGAGGAUGAUCAGCCACAUUGGGACUGAGACACGGCCCAGACUCCUACGGGAGGCAG